GGGUCCGCACAAGCGGUGGAGCAUGUGGUUUAAUUCGAUGAUACGCGAGGAACCUUACCUGGGCUCGAACACUAUUAGACGAUACCUGAAAGGGUAUUUCUCUUCGGAGCUGGUAGUGAGGUGCUGCAUGGUUGUCGUCAGCUCGUGCCGUGAGUGUCAGGUUAAGUCCUAUAACGAGCGCAACCCCUAUCGUUAGUUACCAGCGGGUCAAGCCGGGGACAUUAAGAAGACUGCCGGUGACAAACCGGAGGAAGGCGGGGACGACGUCAAGUCAUCAUGGCCCUUAUGGGUAGGGCUACACACGUGCUACAAUGGUUGGUACAGAGGGAAGCAAAGCGGCGACGUGGAGCA
rnacentral:rRNA from 1 species